GACGAACGCUGGCGGCGUGCUUAACACAUGCAAGUCGAACGGAAAGGCCCUGCUUUUGUGGGGUGCUCGAGUGGCGAACGGGUGAGUAACACGUGAGUAACCUGCCCUUGACUGUGGGAUAACUUCAGGAAACUGGGGCUAAUACCGGAUAGGAGCUCCUGCUGCAUGGUGGGGGUUGGAAAGUUUCGGCGGUUGGGGAUGGACUCGCGGCUUAUCAGCUUGUUGGUUGGGUAGUGGCUUACCAAGGCUUUGACGGGUAGCCGGCCUGAGAGGGUGACCGGCCACAUUGGGCCUGAGAUACGGCCCAGACUCCUCCGGGAGGCAGCAGUGGAGAAUAUUGCACAAUGGGCGGAAGCCUGAUGCAGCACCGCAGCGUGCGGGAUGACGGCCUUCGGGUUGUAAACCGCUUUCGCCUGUGACGAAGCGUGAGUGACGGUAAUGGGUAAAGAAGCACCGGCUAACUACGUG
rnacentral:rRNA from 1 species